rnacentral:rRNA from 1 species
GAUGAACGCUGGCGGCGUGCCUAAUACAUGCAAGUCGAGCGAACGGACGAGAAGCUUGCUUCUCUGAUGUUAGCGGCGGACGGGUGAGUAACACGUGGAUAACCUACCUAUAAGACUGGGAUAACUUCGGGAAACCGGAGCUAAUACCGUAUGAUAUUUUGAACCGCAUGGUUCAAAAGUGAAAGACGGUCUUGCUGUCACUUAUAGAUGGAUCCGCGCUGCAUUAGCUAGUUGGUAAGGUAACGGCUUACCAAGGCAACGAUGCAUAGCCGACCUGAGAGGGGGAUCGGCCACACUGGAACUGAGACACGGUCCAGACUACUACGGGAGGCAGCAGUAGGGAAUCUUCCGCAAUGGGCGAAAGCCUGACGGAGCAACGCCGCGUGAGUGAUGAAGGUCUUCGGAUCGUAAAACUCUGUUAUUAGGGAAGAACAUAUGUGUAAGUAACUGUGCACAUCUUGACGGUACCUAAUCAGAAAGCCACGGCUAACUACGUG